rnacentral:rRNA from 1 species
GGAAGUAAAAGUCGUAAACAAGGUUUCCGUAGGUGAACCUGCGGAAGGAUCAUUGAAGAGUAAGGGUGCUCAGCGCCCGACCUCCAACCCUUUGUUGUUAAAACUACCUUGUUGCUUUGGCGGGACCGCUCGGUCUCGAGCCGCCGGGGAUUCGUCCCAGGGCCGGACGCCCGCCAGAGUUAAACUAAACUCUUGUUAUUAAACCGGUCGUCUGAGUUAAAAUUUUGAAUAAAUCAAAACUUUCAACAACGGAUCUCUUGGUUCUCGCAUCGAUGAAGAACGCAGCGAAAUGCGAUAAGUAAUGUGAAUUGCAGAAUUCAGUGAAUCAUCGAAUCUUUGAACGCACAUUGCGCCCCUUGGUAUUCCGAGGGGCAUGCCUGUUCGAGCGUCAUUACACCACUCAAGCUAUGCUUGGUAUUGGGUGCCGUCCUUAGUUGGGCGCGCCUUAAAGACCUCGGCGAGGCCUCACCGGCUUUAGGCGUAGUAGAAUUUAUUCGAACGUCUGUCAAAGGAGAGGACUUCUGCCGACUGAAACCUUUUAUUUUUCUAGGUUGACCUCGGAUCAGGUAGGGAUACCCGCUGAACUUAAGCAUAUCAAUAAGCGGAGGAAAAGAAACCAACAGGGAUUGCCUUAGUAACG